UUCGCAAUGCCCGAAAGGGUGACGAAGCGACGCCGCGUGCGGGAAGAAGGCCUUCGGGUUGUAAACCGCUGUCGGGAGUUAAGAAAUGCAAGGGUGUUAACAGCAUCCUUGCUUGACUAAGGCUCCGGAGGAAGCCACGGCUAACUCUGUGCCAGCAGCCGCGGUAAUACAGAGGCGGCAAGCGUUGUUCGGAAUUAUUGGGCGUAAAGAGCACGUAGGCGGCUGUGUAAGUCGGUUGUGAAAGCCUUCCGCUCAACGGGAGAACGGCAUCCGAUACUGCAUGGCUUGAGUGCGGGAGGGGAGAGUGGAACUUCUGGUGGAGCGGUGAAAUGCGUAGAUAUCAGAAGGAACACCGGCGGCGAAGGCGACUCUCUGGCCCGUAACUGACGCUGAGUGUGCGAAAGCUAGGGGAGCAAACGGGAUUAGGUACCCCGGUAGUCCUAGCCGUAAACGAUGGGCACUAAGUAGAGGGGUUUU
rnacentral:rRNA from 1 species